GAGAAAUCUUGAGUUUAUGGACUUCAGGGGGAGUAUGGUCACAAGGCUGAAACUUAAAGGAAUUGACGGAAGGGCACACCAGGAGUGGAGCCUGCGGCUUAAUUUGACUCAACACGGGAAAACUUACCAAGACCGAACAGUAGAAGGAAUGACAGAUUAAGAGUUCUUUCAUGAUUUAUUGGGUAGUGGUGCAUGGCCGUUCUUAGUUGGUGGAGUGAUUUGUCAGGUUAAUUCCGGUAACGAACGAGACUGAAACCUAUUAAUUAGUUUUCUGCCUAUAAGACAGAAAUGUUCGCAAGAACAGGUGCGUAAGUACCACUUCUUAAAGGGACACAUUUCAAUUGUCCUAUUUUAAUUGUAGUUAUCUAAUUUCGGUUAGACCUCU
rnacentral:rRNA from 1 species